rfam:Picea glauca, whole genome shotgun sequence.
AUAAUGGUGUCUUUAGACACCACCGAUAUUUUUUGAAGUUAUUCU